CAGCCGCCGCGGUAAUACGUAGGGUGCAAGCGUUAAUCGGAAUUACUGGGCGUAAAGCGUGCGCAGGCGGUUUGUUAAGACAGAUGUGAAAUCCCCGGGCUUAACCUGGGAACUGCGCUUGUGACUGCACAGCUAGAGUAUGGCAGAGGGGGGUGGAAUUCCACGUGUAGCAGUGAAAUGCGUAGAGAUGUGGAGGAACACCGAUGGCGAAGGCAGCCCCCUGGGCCAAUACUGACGCUCAUGCACGAAAGCGUGGGGAGCAAACAGGAUUAGAUACCCCGGUAGUCCCUGUCUCUUAUAC
rnacentral:rRNA from 1 species